rnacentral:rRNA from 1 species
UACGAAGGGGGCUAGCGUUGCUCGGAAUGACUGGGCGUAAAGGGCGCGUAGGCGGCUUGCACCGUCAGAUGUGAAAUUCCUGGGCUUAACCUGGGGCUGCAUUUGAUACGUGUGGCUUGAGUGCGGAAGAGGGUCGUGGAAUUCCCAGUGUAGAGGUGAAAUUCGUAGAUAUUGGGAAAGAACACCGGUGGCGAAGGCGGCGACCUGGUCCGUGACUGACGCUGAGGCGCGAAGCGUGGGAGCAAACAGG